AUGGUGGCCAGCUGGUACCGGCCUUUUCUUAAGCUCUGUGAGGAAUGGCCAGUGGACGAGACCAAACGGGGCCGGGACUUGGGCGCUUACCUGUGACAGCGGGUAGCACAGGCCUUUCGGGAGGGAGAGAAUACCCAGGUUGCAGAGCCUGAGGCCUGUGAUCAGAUGUACCAGAGCUUAGCGCGACUCCAUACAAACUACUACAAACACAAGUACCCUCGCCCCAGAGACACCAGCUUCAGUGGCCUGUCAUUGGAAGAGUACAAGGUGAUCCUGUCCACAGACACCUUGGAAGAGCUUAAGGAAAUGGAUAAAAGCAUGUGGAAGAAACUGCAGGAGAAGUUUUCCUCCAAGGGUCCAGAGGAGGAUCAUAAGGCCUGAGCUCAGGCCUUACCUCGCCCACAUACCUAGGUGUGGAGUCUUGUACAUUGCCAUUGUCAAUAAAACUGCCCCAGUUUCCC